ACGGAGCACGCCGCGUGGGGGAGGACGCCCUUUCGGGGUGUAAACCCCUUUUCUUGGGGACGAAAACACUGACGGUACCCGAGGAAGAAGGCCCGGCUAACUACGUGCCAGCAGCCGCGGUAAUACGUAGGGGCCGAGCGUUGUCCGGAGUUACUGGGCGUAAAGCGCGCGCAGGCGGCGCACUUUGCCCGGCGUGAGAGCCCCCGGCUCAACCGGGGAGGGUCGUCGGGGACGGGUGCGCUUGAGGACGGCAGGGGCAGGUGGAAUUCCCGGUGUAGUGGUGAAAUGCGUAGAGAUCGGGAGGAACACCCGUGGCGAAGGCGGCCUGCUGGGCCGAUCCUGACGCUGAGGCGCGAAGGCGUGGGGAGCGAACGGGAUUAGAUACCCCGGUAGUCCACGCAGUAAACGAUGCCGACUAGGCGUGGGGGGAGUUGACCCCCUCCGUGCCGGAGCUAACGCGGUAAGUCGGCCGCCUGGGGAGUACGGCCGCAAGGCUAAAACUCAAAGGAAUUGACGGGGGCCCGCACAAGCGGCGGAGCGUGCGGUUUAAUUCGACGCAACGCGCAGAACCUUACCCGGGCUUGACAUGCGCCUGCAGAGCCGGGAAACCGGUUGGCCUUCGAGGGUGGCGCACAGGUGCUGCAUGGCUGUCGUCAGCUCGUGUCGUGAGAUGUUGGGUUAAGUCCCGCAACGAGCGCAACCCCCGCGGCCAGUUGCCGAUGUUUCUGGCCGGACUGCCGGUAGCAAGCCGGAGGAAGGUGGGGAUGAUGUCAAGUCAGCAUGGCCCUUACGUCCGGGGCGACACGCACGCUACAAUGGCCGGGACAGUGGGUUGCCAAGGCGCAAGCCGGAGCCAAUCCCCCAAACCCGGUCUCAGUUCGGAUUGCGGGCUGCAACUCGCCCGCAUGAAGCUGGAGUCGCUAGUAACCGCGGGUCAGCAGUACCGCGGUGAAUACGUUCCCGGG
rnacentral:rRNA from 1 species